rnacentral:tRNA from 1 species
AGGGGUGUAGCUCAGUGGUAGUGUUUGCCUAGCAAGUCCAAGGCCCUGGGUUCUAUCCUCAGCACCCCAA